AAAGCAGGCUGCAAUUACAGUGCUUCACUCUGUGGGAGCACUGCCAUGUCCCUGCUGAGAGCAACUCUGUUAACUGAGGAUUUGAUCUCUGUGCUGUGAAAUCAUUUCCCUGUAACAGUGACAAGU
ensembl:snoRNA